rnacentral:rRNA from 1 species
UACGUAGGGCGCAAGCGUUAUCCGGAAUUAUUGGGCGUAAAGAGCUCGUAGGCGGUUUGUCGCGUCUGCCGUGAAAGUCCGGGGCUCAACUCCGGAUCUGCGGUGGGUACGGGCAGACUAGAGUGCAGUAGGGGAGACUGGAAUUCCUGGUGUAGCGGUGGAAAUGCGCAGAUAUCAGGAAGAACACCCGUGGCGAAGGCGGCUCUCUGGAACGCAACUGACGCUGAGACGCGAAAGCGUGGGGAGCAAACAGG